AAAGAGCAGCCUGAGCGACCCACGGGUCGUUUAUCGCGCAAAAGAGAGGGCAGUACGUCCACCGAAUAGGGUUGGCGGCGGUGAAGUGAAAGGAUGGAAAUGGGAACAAAUAUCGUUAAAAAGCUUCCAUGAGAACGCGUCUCUCAGCUCAACCUUUUGUCGCUGCCAGGUGCAUGUAAGUGCUGCAAGGUAUUAAAAGUGCUGGGCGGCUUCGUGGAAUAUUACAACUUGGAUGUUGCAAUUAUAACUGAGCGCGCAGCAUUUUCCAUGGCUGACCCCAGACAGCUGUGUGUUCCCACUGCAGCUUUGAAACAGGGUGAAUUGAAACCGGAAGCCUAAAGCCGCGCGCACCAAGUGAUCGUCCUGAUGUACUACGCAGUGCAGGAAUGGUCCUUACCGCAAGCCUCGAUUCGAGUGACUCGGCACAGCGGCU
rnacentral:lncRNA from 1 species